AUUGAACGCUGGCGGCAGGCUUAACACAUGCAAGUCGAGCGAGCGGCGGACGGGUGAGUAAUGUCUGGGAAACUGCCUGAUGGAGGGGGAUAACUACUGGAAACGGUAGCUAAUACCGCAUACCAUCAGAUGUGCUCAGAUGGGAUUAGCUAGUAGGUGGGGUAAUGGCUCACCUAGUCGACGAUCCCUAGCUGGUAUGAGAGGAUGACCAGUCACACUGGAACUGAGACACGGUCGAAAUUCCUACGGUAGGCAGCAGUGGGGAAUAUCGGCCAAGGGGCGCAAGCCUGAUGCAGCCAUGCCGGGUGUGUGAAGAAGGCCUUCGGGUUGUACAGCACUUUCAGCGAGGAGGCGUUACUCGCAGAAGAAGCACCGGCUAACUCCGUGCCAGCAGCCGCGGUAAUAC
rnacentral:rRNA from 1 species